CCCUUAGAUGUCCGGGGCUGCACGCGCGCUACACUGAAGGAAUCAGCGUGCUAAAACCAUUGUCGAAAGGCAUUGGUAAACCCAUUAAAAUCCUACGUGAUUGGGAUCGGGAAUUGCAAUUAUUUCCCUUGAACGAGGAAUUCCCAGUAAGUGUGGGUCAUAAGCUCGCGUUGAUUACGUCCCUGCCCUUUGUACACACCGCCCGUCGCUGCCCGGGACUGAGCCGUUUCGAGAAAAGCGGGGACUGCUGCUGUCGGGGCUUUCGGGCCUUGGCUUCGGUGGAAACCGCUUUAAUCGCAGUCGCUUGAACCGGGCAAAAGUCGUANCA
rnacentral:rRNA from 1 species